rnacentral:misc_RNA from 1 species
AAAAGUCGUAACAAGGUCUCCGUUGGUGAACCAGCGGAGGGAUCAUUACCGAGUUUACAACUCCCAAACCCCUGUGAACAUACCACUUGUUGCCUCGGCGGAUCAGCCCGCUCCCGGUAAAACGGGACGGCCCGCCAGAGGACCCCUAAACUCUGUUUCUAUAUGUAACUUCUGAGUAAAACCAUAAAUAAAUCAAAACUUUCAACAACGGAUCUCUUGGUUC